GAGAGAGGCAGGGGCCAGCCAGGAGGAUCACCUGUAGCUUCUGCCUCCAGCAUGAUCUGGCUUGUGGGGGACACGGCUUGAGACUGACUCCCUGGAGGAAGAAGAGGAGGAGAAAGGAGAAAAACAGAGAGAGUGGGGACGGGAAUCCAGGAAUGACAGGAGAAGAGGGAAGAAAAUCUGUUAUUUGCUGAGCUCCUGCUAUGUUGCAGGCACUUAACACAAGAGCCACCACGUUACUCCCCAUCACCACCCCAGGGGAAUUUCGUGUUCUCAGGCCUCAGUUUAGAGGAGAAGAAGAAGUCCAGAGCGGGUGAGUCGCUCGCUUAAGGGGACACAGCUGUGUGGAACAGGAUCGCGCUUUCGGACUGAGCGCUGUCUGCGACCUCUGCGGACGGCCUCCCACCCAGGAGGCUGCAGGGACCCAGCAGGGAAAAAGGACAAGGUCAGAGGGGUGACAACUGAGAUCCUCCAGGCUGGGAGGCCUGCCUGCUGAGAGGCAGGGAAACCGGACACACAGCUGGGGCUGUGACUGGUGAGAAGCGUGGCCGUGCCUGUGGCCGUGGCUCGUCACCAUGGAAGGACGGAUGCAGGGGCCACAUGGGCUGUGUGCUCAGCAUCCUCCUUUGUGCCGACGCGUGGUCUAGGUACCCACAGCCAACCUGCUAUGUGUGGAGGAUCGCUCUGGUUUCCUGGGAACGUGUUCAUUCAACAAACCGGAACCAGGGCAGACCCUGGGCCAGGGACACACUAGCAUCGACCAGGAGGACAAACACAUUCAACAGACACGUGCAGACUCCCACGUGUGCUGGGAGGGGAGGGGAGCCACCCGACAGGAGGAGAGCCAGACCAGGAGAGGUGAAGGGGGGCCCUCAUCCCCGGGGUCAUGGGCGACUGAGAUGGGAGCUAUGGGCUCAGUACUCUUAGUCCAGUGCUUCCUCUGGGGCCCUGAUGGUUGCCCUGCUGGGCGGAAAAGACAGUAUAACCGAGUCAUAAAUUGUAAGAAUGAGGUGGCAUUGGCCAAACAAUGAUUACUAAACACCGGGUAUAUUUGUCCUAAGAAAUGUUCAUGUUUGGGCUCGUUUAAUUCCCACUCUUUAGCGUAGUUCUGACUAUUAUCCCCAUUUUACAGAUGAUAAAAACUGAGGCACAGAGAGGUCAGGGACCUUGGCCAAGGUUGUUCAGUAAGUGGCAUUGGGAUUUGAACUCAGACGUCUUCCUACCCUGCUAGAGGUCUGAGGAAUGCUUGGGCACAGCUAGGUGUGUCUAGCAAGUGGCCCAAGG